rnacentral:lncRNA from 1 species
GUGUGAAGAGGCUGACAGCGGCGUGGCCACCACCCAGGAUGGAGAGAAAGGCACUGUGAGGUGUUAAUGGAAAAAUCCAACUUCCUUUUCUUCCAAAGAUGAUGACUGAAACCAAAGUGGAGCUUUCCCUUGUGAAGUGAAAGCAAAGUUUUAAAAUUUUUUCUCCUCUGCAAGAAAAUAUAUUUCAGAAAAUCUCUAUCUCAAAAAUGAAGCAAUUAAGAACUGUCUGGCUGUGAGGAUCUGGCCUCAACUUGACUUAAAGCAACAACUUCAGUUACAUAUCAAGAUGUGCGUGAGAAUGAACCUGCUCUGCUCAGCCAACGUGCUGAGUGACUUGAUGUUUGUAAUAAAUAAAUAAAUAAACAACAAACAGGUUGUCAUGAAAUAUCCUUUGUAAUUAUAAACACAGGAAACUUUCUGAGAUGCAAGUGGGUGUUAAAUGGUUCAGCAAAGCCAAGCCAGAGCAGUUGGUGUGCUUUGAAAUGAAGCAACAUUGGAAAAAUGAAAUCUACUGAAAGAUCACUACGUGUUUCAAAGAACUGACUAGAACCAGAACUCUUCAGAAAAGAAUGUGCUAAAGGUUUGUCCUUGAGAAGUUUCCAAGCCAAGACACUCCUAGGAGCACUUCCCAUUGAGGCCGAAAGGCUCAUCCACUUACAGCGAUUCAUGGGAAAAGAGGACAGCACCCUCAUCUUUGGUCCAAGAACACAAUCCUGAGUGACACAGGAUUGCCCUGAAAGUCAACAGCAUCCGUCUUACAAAAAUCAACAACACUCGCUUUUCAAACUUCCAAAGAAUUUACUGGUCUGGUUUGGCCUUUUGGUGCCACAUUCCAUUCCAGAACCCCAGCUAAAAUGUUCUCAAGGGCUGACCAGAGAUUCCUCCUCCUUUCUCUGGGCUGGUAC